CCUACGGGUGGCAGCAGUGGGGAAUAUUGCUCAAUGGGGGAAACCCUGAUGCAGCGACGCCGCGUGAGUGAUGAAGGAAUUCGGUAUGUAAAGCUCUUUUAGUAGAGAAGAAAAUGACGGUACCUGAGGAAGAAGCACCGGCUAACUACGGGCCAGCAGCCGCGGUAAUACGUAGGGGGCAAGCGUUAUCCGGAUUUACUGGGCGUAAAGGGAGCGUAGACGGGAGUGCAAGUCUGGAGUGAAAGGCGGGGGCUCAACCCUCGGACUGCAUUGGAAACUGUACUGCUGGAGUACAGGAGAGGUAGGUGGAAUUCCUAGUGUAGCGGUGAAAUGCGUAGAUAUUAGGAGGAACACCAGUUGCGAAGGCGGCUUACUGGACUGUAACUGACGUUGAUGCUCGAAAGCGUGGGGAGCAAACAGGAUUAGAUACCCUUGUAGUC
rnacentral:rRNA from 1 species